AGCUUUGCGCAGUGGCAGUAUCGUAGCCAAUGAGGUUUAUCCGAGGCGCGAUUAUUGCUAAUUGAAACUUGCAAGUUAUUA
rnacentral:snRNA from 1 species